rnacentral:rRNA from 1 species
AAUACCCGUCGUAAGUGACGGUACCGUAAGAGAAAGCCACGGCUAACUACGUGCCAGCAGCCGCGGUAAUACGUAGGUCGCAAGCGUUGUCCGGAAUUAUUGGGCGUAAAGGGCGCGCAGGCGGCGUCGUAACUCGGUCUUAAAAGUGCGGGGCUUAACCCCGUGAGGGGACCGAAACUGCGAUGCUAGAGUAUCGGAGAGGAAAGCGGAAUUCCUAGUGUAGCGGUGAAAUGCGUAGAUAUUAGGAGGAACACCAGUGGCGAAAGCGGCUUUCUGGACGACAACUGACGCUGAGGCGCGAAAGCCAGGGGAGCAAACGGGAUUAGAUACCCCGGUAGUCCUGGCCGUAAACGAUGGAUACUAGGUGUAGGAGGUAUCGACCCCUUCUGUGCCGGAGUUAACGCAAUAAGUAUCCCGCCUGGGGAGUACGGCCGCAAGGCUGAAACUCAAAGGAAUUGACGGGGGCCCGCACAAGCGGUGGAGUAUGUGGUUUAAAUUCGACGCAACGCGAAGAACCUUACCAAGCCUUGACAUUGAUUGCUAUGGGU